rnacentral:rRNA from 1 species
GAUGAACGCUGGCGGCGUGCCUAAUACAUGCAAGUCGAGCGAACAGACGCGGCGCUCGCUCCUCUGACGUUACCGGCGGAUGGGUGAGUAACACGUGGCCAACCUACCUAUAAGACUGGGAUAACUUCGGGUAACCGGAGUUAAUACCGGAUAACACGUCGACCCGCAUGGUUCUACAGUGAUAGAUGGUCUUGGUGUCAAUUCUAGACGGAUCCGCUCCGCAUUAGCUAGUUGGUAAGGUAACGCCUUACCAAGUAAACGAUGCGUAGCGGACGUGAGAGGGUGAUCGCCCACACGGGAACGUGGACACGGACCAGGCUCCUACGAGAGGCAGCAGUAGGGAAUCUUCCGCAAUGGGCGGAAGCCUUGCGGAGCAGCGCCACGUGAGUGAAGAAGAUCUUCGGAGCGGGAUGCUCUGUUAUUAGGGGAGAACAAAUUUGAAAGUAGCUAUAGACAUCUUGACGGUACCUGAACAGAAAGCCACGGCUAACUACGUG